rnacentral:rRNA from 1 species
CCAGACUCCUACGGGAGGCAGCAGUAGGGAAUCUUUCACAAUGGGCGAAAGCCCGAUGGAGCAACGCCGCGUGCAGGAUGAAGGCCUUCGGGUUGUAAACUGCUUUUAUAAGCGAGAAAUAUGAUGGUAACUUAUGAAUAAGGAUCGGCUAACUACGUGCCAGCAGCCGCGGUCAUACGUAGGAUCCGAGCAUUAUCCGGAGUGACUGGGUGUAAAGAGUUGCGUAGGUGGCAUAAUAAGUAGCUAGUGAAAUCUGGUGGCUCAACCAUUCAGACUAUUAGCUAAACUGUUAAGCUCGAGACCGUUAGGGGUAACUGGAAUUUCUAGUGUAGGAGUGAAAUCCGUAGAUAUUAGGAGGAACACCAGUGGCGAAGGCGGCCUGCUGGGCUUUUACUGACGCUGAGGCUCGAAAGUGUGGGGAGCAAACAGGAUUAGAUACCCUAGUA